CCUACGGGAGGCAGCAGUGGGGAAUAUUGCACAAUGGGGGAAACCCUGAUGCAGCGACGCCGCGUGAGUGAAGAAGUAAUUCGUUAUGUAAAGCUCUAUCAGCAGGGAAGAAAAUGACGGUACCUUAGUAAGAAGCCCCGGCUAACUACGUUCCAGCAGCCGCGGUAAUACGUAGGGGGCAAGCGUUAUCCGGAUUUACUGGGGGUAAAGGGGGCGUAGACGGCAGUGCAAGGCUGGAGUGAAAGGCGGGGGCUCAACCCCCGGACUGCUUUGGAAACUGUGCGGCUAGAGUGCAGGAGAGGUAAGUGGAAUUCCUAGUGUAGCGGUGAAAUGCGUAGAUAUUAGGAGGAACACCAGUGGCGAAGGCGGCUUACUGGACAGUAACUGACGUUGAGGCUCGAAAGCGUGGGGAGCAAACAGGAUUAGAUACCCGAGUAGUC
rnacentral:rRNA from 1 species